GCCUUUGAAUUUGUUUACAUUUGUGCUUGCCAGAUACGUGUAGUAAAUAAAAAAUUUUUUAUGGUUUACCAUUUUUCUAAUUAGCAUUAAGGGGCAGAUUUAUCAAAAAUCGAAUGUGAUUUUUUUUCCCCCACGAUUCAAAUAGUUUUUGUACCCAAUCUCAAGCAUUUGAGUUAUAUUUUAGAAAACUCUAAUGACCAAGUCAAAUUUUUGAGACUUGGAUUGUUCCAUAAACACGCAAACAUUCGAAAUUUGAGUUUAUCAGAGGUAGAAAAACCCUCACACAACUCACACAUUCGAUUCUUGAUAAAUAUUCCCCUUAAUGUAGCUUCCAGACAGAAUUUAUAUUUUUUCUGAUUAUGAUGAAUGUUUUUUUUUAAGGUCUGUGGCACUCCCCCUAAAAUCAUACAACAUGUUCACAGGCCCGAUAUAUGGAACUAACAAACCAUUUUUUUCAGCAUAAUAAAAAAUUUAACAGAAGCUAUAAUUUUUUUGAUAUCCUGGCCAGCCUUUGAUUGUAACCCAGCAAGUUGUCUUUAACUAUCCAUUCUUUACUUGUUAAAUCAAAAUACUAUUAACGCAGUAUUUUCAUUAUGCUCAUUUUUUUUUUUUUGGAUCAAAAAACUUUCCACCACCUUACUUUUAUUUGUGCUGCGAAAAAGGUUUUUUUUUUCCUUCUCAGCUGGCUGAUGACACACUCCUGAUAACUGAUCCACGUGCACAGGUAUUUAUAUACCACCUAGCCUUGUCCACCUGACACUGACCCCCCCCAAUGAUGACAUUACCCUACCUAGUCCCUCUCAGAACGCAGCCCUAAUUAUGCAGGCCCUCGGCAGGUGAGGCUUAACCCUUACUGGCUAUGCAGCUGCCCAUGCCUGCGCAGCAUUAAUUUGCUGCACGGCAAAUGGGGGAGGUAGGAUGUACCUAUUAUACCUAACUGUGUAUGAAAAUAACUGCACACAACACCACAGAUUUUGUUUGGUUGAAGUGUAGUCCACAGCACUAUUUUAUUAGAAUUAUAAUUUCAGCAUAACAAUAAAAAUGUAAACAGAAGCUAUCACUUUUUUUUAUUAUCCUGGACAGCCUCUGAUUGUAAUCCAGCAGGCCACCUUUAACUAUUCAUACUUGUUAAAUAAAAAAAACUUUACACAAUGUCGAGCUUGUUUGAUACCUCGACCCCCCCCCCAAAAACCCAGUGCUUUCUCCAGUUCUGCUUGCAAGCCAUUGUUAAAAAUAUCAUUACCUAUAUCAGCCAAGUGAAUUCCAUCACUACUAUAAAGGCCUACCUCCACUAGCUCUGUACACAAUACUUCUGUACACAAUAAUAUUUGUUUUUUGAAAAAGCAAUGGUUGACUAUUUUUUUACCUAUUUACCUGCUGCCAACCAAAAAAAUCUUGUCAGUAUUUCAGACCAAAUAAUGACAGCGUUAUCCAUCAUUGCACGAAUUUGUGAAAUGUCCUUUUUUAUUUGCCUUAUUAGGUCAAUUGUUCUUGUCCUACCUAAAUCAUUUCCUCCUAGGUGAAUGAGGAUUAUGUCAGGAUGACCCCACCUAUUAACCAUUUGCAUCAAAACUGAAAUCAAAUCACCCCACGUAAUCCCCUGACACACAUCAAGAAAAUGUACAAGAGUCCCAAAAUUCUAAUCAUGAUAGUAGGACCUAUAAACUGGAAUAUAAACAAUUUACACAAGCUGGACGAACACAACAUUGGUACCUGGACAAUUCUCACCAGCCUAUUGGUUUUAUACUGUUCUCAUUGAGCCCAAGGAUUGCUGCCUGUGUCACUGCACCUAAUGCGGAAGGAAUGUGAUUUGUAACCUUCUGAAGUAAUGUCUUUUUAAGCCCAUACGUAGUAUACUGGCAAAUUGGAAUCUAGAGACAAACUUACCAUCCUGAUGAACAAAAAAUGGUCCAGGGGCCCUAGGCUGAAUAACUACAAAAUCUAGAAAGGUCUUAAUUGGACAUAGUGUGGGAUUAAUGAAUGGACCUAACCAUAAAACUAAACCCUUGCCCUUCCUAUCUUUCUUUGAUUGCCUAAGAAUGAUUUUUAAUCUCCUAGUUUUAAAUUGCUGGAGGAAACUGUUUAAUUUAACCUUAAGGCUGCAAAAAAGACAGUAACAAAUUAAGCUUGUCACCGUCAAUACAAACCUUUUACCAAUUUACCUAAUAAUUCUAAAGUAAUAGGCUUUCUGGUGGCGUUUUAUUAACUCUUGUUAAACCUUUUAUUACUUAACCAAAUUUGUUUUAGUAAAAUUUGUUUUACCCAACAACUUAAGGAAAAGGGAAAUUCCUCCUAUUCAAUUAGUCGUCAAUCUUGCCUGACCACUCUUUUGGUGUGAGAUUAUCUGCACAUUUUUUAGCACAGGGAAUGGAAGGGUGGAUUCUACUGCCAAUAGAACAGUUGUGUCUAUAUCUACAAUUUGCCUGCCAUUUGCACACUGAUUCGUUAACGGCCCAGCAACAAUUUGGAUUUGACUGUUGUUUGGAACAUUCAUAUUAGGCUUAGGAACCAACAUUCCUAACCAAAAAUCUACAUCUUUCUUCCCCCAACUAAUGUCUGGAUGAACCGCCAUCUUUUGAUGAAAUCUGUCAUCAUAGAAGUACCAAAACAACUUCUUUAUGCCUCCAGAAUAAUGUUUACAUGUUUAAAUAAUUGUGUCCCUAAAUGAGGCUUUUUUUUUUAUUAGUAUGAAAAAUUUCACUUGCACUCGAAGGCUGAUCAACGUAGGGAUAUACCCUUACACUUUAGUGGCAGAAAGGUGCAACGUUUCGGGGAUGUCCCCUUUGUCAAGCAUAAAAUAUAGUGAAAGAAUUAGCAAUUUAACACAUACAAGAUGUAAAGCACGUAACAAGUCAAUUAACAUACUGGGUGGUUACAAAUCAAACCCAAUUAAAUUCUAAUGAGCUAAGGAUGGUCACAAAAAAUUAACUUUCUUUGCAUAGAGUCCAUUAGUGAGAAAUAGAAAAAUUUAUAGUAGAAAAAAUUCUUAGAAAAAUUUUUAAUAGAAAAGAUUCCUUUGUAGAAAAAAUUCCUUUGUAGAAAAAUGUCUCUUGGUUAAAAAACAUUGUUGAACAUAUUUAUUAAAUACUUAACGCAGGAAUAACCUUAGAUAAUUUGUUACAGUCCAGACCUAAGAGGUUAAAUCCUUUUAACAAGCAGUUGAAAUUUACACUCCAAAGAUAAGAGAACAUUUCCUUAAGCAAGAGAUAAGAGCAACUUUGUUCACUCAAUGUAACCAACUAUUCAAUUAUUGAAUUGAAGAGAUCAAUAUCAGCAAAAAUUGCAACAAUUUAUACAUUCAAUGCUUAUCUUACCCUAUAUGAAGGGAGGAAAAUUCUGUCCCUGUUGAAAAAUUUCAGAUGGUAUAUUAACCCUUUCUAGUCUAUUCAAAAAAUCAGUGGUAUCCAACAGGCAAGGUUCCAAUGUGGGCAAUAUGUCCUGCAAGAACAUAUCAAUAUAGAUUGCAGGCGGUUGCCAUAAAGAGCCCACAUUGCAAACAAUUGACCUUCCAGGUGGACUAGUAAGACUUAUGUAUUUUAGGAAGAAAAUACAGAUAGGGUAUUUUUGGAAAUUGCUGAUAAAGAAGUUGAUAAACCUCCUCAUUUAUGACUCCUUCCAUUACAGAAGAAUUUAAAAAUAUGUUCAAUUCAUUUUUAAACUUAUGUAUGGGAUCUGAUUUUAAUUGUGUGUAAUGUUUAACAGUUAGUUGGCGAGUCGCUUCAUUAAUAUAAUCAACUUUAUUCAAAACUACGGUGCCACCUCCCUUAUAAGCUUUGGUAAUUACUACAGAGGUAUUCUGCUGUAAAGAGUUAAUAGCCUCUCUUUCAGCCUGUGCCAAAUUUUGAAUAUGUUUUUUAGAAUUCCUUUUGUCAAAAAUGAUAUUUGUUUCCAGUGUCACCAUAGUUUCAAAAGUGUCAAUAGUGAGGAAUAAAUGAACUUUUAGUGCCCAAUUUGUUUUUUACUUGCCUCAUAAAAUUAUCAUUGCGUGCUGUCGUUUCUUUGUCACAAAAAUAAGCUUUCAACUUAAGCGUUCUUACAAAUUUAAACAGUAAAUGAAAAAGGUGCAGUAGUGUGCAUAGGAACAAAACCAAGUCCCUUGUUUAAAACAGAUAACUCGCUGGUGGAAAGUUCAUGGGCAGAUAAAUUAAAAACAGUAUUUACCUGCGAUAAUAACGUGCCCCCCUGCGCUUGGUCGGUGGGUAAUGGCGAGUUUCUGCCCUGUCUCCUCCAUGUCCUGCGCUUCCUCGUGGGCGGCCUACCUCUAAAAAAGAAGCCCCAGUGGAGCUCUGUGAAGAAAGCGGUGAUGACUGAUCAAUUCGGCAAACCGUGUGUUUGACGUGUCUGAAGUGAUUGUUGAAGAGGCACACUGUUUGUGAUGUGUUCGUCUCACGUCCUUCCACAUGUAAACCUCGCCGCGUUCGUAGUCCUGAGUGACUGUAGCUUUGACUCCAGUUCCUGUAGCGCAUUCUUAUUGUUCAACUCCGGUAUUGCUGAAUAGCUUUCCUCGAGGACAUGUAUCUGUUGCUUCAAAUCCUUCGAUCCCACCUGGAGUUGUUGAACAGUAAGUGCAAUAAGAUCCAAGCUGCAACGAUUGAGUAUCCCUUGCCAUUUCGCAGCAAAGCUUUUUUUUUUAUUCACAUUGAUACAGGAGGCUUGUAAGCAAUUAGUGAAUGUACAUGGAAUAGGUGCCAUUCUGUCUUCUUCAAUUUCCCUUUUUUAAUUAUCUUAGUCUUUUAAAGGAAGGAAGUAAAGGCAAUAUACACUAUAUCCAUAUAAUCCUCUUUAAUAAAUUUUCUCCUUCAUAGUAGCAGACAGAGUUCUGGUACAUUACAAUCCUUAACAUCAGCAUUAGAAGAAGGUACUACAUUGUGAAUUAUAGAAAAGAGCAAGUUAAUCAGCUCUCAAAUAAAUCCGCAGUAUUACCUUUAGUGCCCGCGACGUCCAUCUCCUGGGCUGUAGCAGCAUGCCGUCCUUGACUAGAUGUUGCAGAUGAAGUUGAUGCCAAUGUUUGGAUAAACAGCAGUGCCUCCUGAGCAGUUGUUACAGCUUGUGAGUAGCUGGAACCACUUGUCACAGUGAUCUUGACUACCUGCUCCAGACAAUGCUAUGUUGCACGUUGAGACAAGAGAUGUGCUGCUGCCCUGGCAGGGAGGUGAAAUUGAUGGCUGCAAUCCUCCGGCAGCCAGUUGAUCUGCAGUGCACUUUUUUCUCCUUAGAGCGUUCCUCAUCUUGCCACAAAAUUCUGUUCUGCAUUCAUCUGUCAUGUACAGGCUCCGCCUCCCGUUCAGUGACGCUGGCCGCUUCCUUUUCCGCUCCUUCCUCGGCAUUGAUGGCACCUCAUAUACUCUAAAAAUGAUUGUCAUUGAACUUAUGAAAAUAUCCAAUUUUAAAAAGUAUAAAUGAAAAAAAGCGCUAAACGAUGCGGUAAAUACAAAACCUGAGUUUUUCAGACCAUUUCUAAAGGAGAAAAAAAUCCAAAAACUUCUAAAAGUUCGAAUUAAUUUAAAGCGGUUCAAUUUAAAGAGCACCUCCCAUUGACGCUUCUAUAGCAGCUUGGCGAAGUUAUGCUUUAGAUGUUUUUGUGAUUUUUACACUUCUAAUAAGCAUGAAGGAGUAAACAAGGUUUAGCUGAGGGAGAGUAAACUGAUAAAUUCAUUCUAUCCAGAAGUUCAUCUUGAAUCCUCAGACCAUAUAUGGAGUUUCAGUACAGCUCGUGUGCUGUGGCCAGUUUAGAAGCUUAGGGGUUGACUAAAAAACAUGAAGCAGGAUUGUGACAUGUAUAAUGGUAUUUUUUGGAUAGCCAGUGGAUCCUUUCUCUCCUUCUUUUGUAUUUUUUUCUUUUUUUUUCUUUUGUUUUAUAUAUACCUUUUCCCCUGUUCUGCAAUAUUUUGUACUAUGCAUUCCUGUGUUGUGCAAUGUGCUAUUUUUCUAUACAGUCCUUCGGGAACAGUGAAAUUUGAUUUCAAUAAAAAGAAAGUUGACUAAAAAACAUGAAGCAGAAUAUGAGGGUCACUUGUCUCUGAUUAUUAAAUUCUGAUGCAAAAUGCACUGUUUUCUCAGCUACCAUGCAAUGCAAAUCUGAAUUAAUUCUCUUUUUAUUGUGAUGUUUGUUUAUAAAGGCAAUGACAAUCUAGUAUCUGGAAUGCACGGGCCUGUGUUUUUCUGGAUAAUUUUGGACUGUAAGGCUGUUAAAAAUAGUCCUUUUUGGCAUCCAGUGUGUUUCUGAACUACUUGGAAAGUUUACAACUGUAUAUGAAGAUUAUUUAAAGGGGUUGUUCACCUUUUAAAUGUGCUUUUAGUAU